rnacentral:misc_RNA from 1 species
GAAAUGCGAUAAGUAAUGUGAAUUGCAGAAUUCAGUGAAUCAUCGAAUCUUUGAACGCACAUUGCGCCCGCUAGUAUUCUGGCGGGCAUGCCUGUCUGAGCGUCAUUUCACCAAUCCCCCUGGGCUUCUUGUCCCGGGGGCUGUUGGGGAUCGCCGAGCGUCCACUCGGCGUCCCCUAAACCUAGUGGCAGCCUCGCCGCGGCCUCCCCUGCGUAGUAAACACUCUCGCAGGCGGAACCACAGCGAAGGGUCGCCGUAAAACCCCCAACUUCUUAAUGGUUGACCUCAGAUCAGGUAGGAAUACCCGCUGAACUUAA